UUUCUAUAGUGAAAAUUAAUCACAACACACUUUCUAUGUGUUAAUGUUAAUAACUAGAACAGAAAU
rnacentral:tRNA from 1 species